GUGGCCUAGUGGUUAGAGCGUCCAUCUAGGAUGCGGAAGAUCGUGGGUUCGAACCCCGGAUAAGUCA